UAGCCAUGAUGUAGACAUGCAUUUAUAAGUUUCCUUAAACCUCUUUCAAUAUUGGAAAAAGGUUUCUUCCUCUUUUUGUGAAAAAUUCCUUAUGACUCUUCUGAGGGU